UAAGUUAUACUGCAAAGAAGUUGUAUUUAAUUUUUAAUAUUUUACCUUUUGCAUAAUGGUUUAAUAAUAUAAUGUAUAAAUUUUGCAUCCCGAAAUUAGAAGAUCUAAUAUUAUUAAUUUUUUAGAACUAAUUGUAUAAUGUUUCAAAAUUAUAUUAAUAAAUAAUAUUAGGGGUGAAAGGCUUAACAAUUCUAAUGAUAUCUGGAAUAACUUUAAAUGUAUUUAGUACAGAAUAAAAUUUGAGUAAAAAAAUGUUAAGAUUUUUUUUAUUUAUAGAAUAAUAUAUUGAAAUAUUUAUAUGAAAUAAACUUCCAAUAUUUAUAUUAAUAUAUAAUUUAUUAUUUUAUAUAUCUAAUUAAUAAAGUUACAUCGCAUUUAAACUAAAAUUUUAAAUUAAUUAUGUUAAAAUUAGUAUAAUAAUUUUAUUUAAUUAAGGAACUCGGCUAACCAUUAUUUACCUGUUUAUCAAACCUGCCCACUGAUAUUAAUUAAAUGGCCGCAGUACCUUGACUGUGCUAAGGUAGCAUAAUAAAUUGACUUUUAAUUGGAGCCUUGAAUGAAUGGAACCAUAAAUAAUCUCUGUCUCAAUUAAACACUUACAAGUUACUUAAAAGGUGAAAAUUCCUUUAAUAUAUAAAAUAGACGAGAAGACCCUAGGAGUUUUAAUUUUUGUUGGGGCGACAAUAUAGCAUAUAACCUAUAUAGUAGAUAAUUUAUAAAACGAAUAAAUUUUAAUACUAAAUAAGCUACCCUAGGGAUAACAGCAUAAUUUAAUUUAAGUUUGUGACCUCGAUGUUGGACUAGGAACUUUUAAUAUUAACAAUAUUAACUGAUAGUUCUGUUCGA
rnacentral:rRNA from 1 species